UGGGGAAUAUUGCACAAUGGGCGGCAGCCAGAUGCAGCGACGCCGCGUGAGGGAUGACGGCCUUCGGGUUGUAAACCGCUUUUGAUUGGGAGCAAGCUUUCGGGUGAGUGUACCUUUCGAAUAAGCGCCGGCUAACUACGUGCCAGCAGCCGCGGUAAUACGUAGGGCGCAAGCGAUAUCCGGAAUUAUUGGGCGUAAAGAGCUUGUAGGCGGUCCGUCGCGUCUGGUGUGAAAGCCCAUCGCUUAACGGUGGGGUUGCGCCGGGUACGGGCGGGCUAGAGUGCAGUAGGGGAGACUGGAAUUCCCGGUGUAACGGUGGAAUGUGUGGAUAUCGGGAAGAACACCAAUGGCGAAGGCAGGUCUCUGGGCUGUUACUGACGCUGAGAAGCGAAAGCGUGGGGAGCGAACAGG
rnacentral:rRNA from 1 species